AAAGAAACCAACAGGGAUUGCCCUAGUAACGGCGAGUGAAGCGGCAACAGCUCAAAUUUGAAAUCUGGCCCUCGGGUCCGAGUUGUAAUUUGUAGAGGAUGCUUUUGGUGAGGUGCCUUCCGAGUUCCCUGGAACGGGACGCCAUAGAGGGUGAGAGCCCCGUCUGGUUGGACACCGAGCCUCUGUAAAGCUCCUUCGACGAGUCGAGUAGUUUGGGAAUGCUGCUCUAAAUGGGAGGUAUAUGUCUUCUAAAGCUAAAUACCGGCCAGAGACCGAUAGCGCACAAGUAGAGUGAUCGAAAGAUGAAAAGCACUUUGAAAAGAGAGUUAAAAAGUACGUGAAAUUGUUGAAAGGGAAGCGCUUAUGACCAGACUUGGGCUUGGUUGAUCAUCCUGGGUUCUCCCUGGUGCACUCUUCCAGUUCAGGCCAGCAUCAGUUCGCUGCGGGGGAUAAAAGCUUUAGGAAUGUGGCUCCCUCGGGAGUGUUAUAGCCUAUUGCAUAAUACCCUGCUCCGGACUGAGGUUCGCGCAUCUGCAAGGAUGCUGGCGUAAUGGUCAUCAGCGACCCGUCUUGAAACACGGACCAAGGAGUCGUCUUCGUAUGCGAGUGUUCGGGUGUUAAACCCCUACGCGUAAUGAAAGUGAACGCAGGUGAGAGCUUCGGCGCAUCAUCGACCGAUCCUGAUGUUCUCGGAUGGAUUUGAGUAAGAGCAUACGGGGCCGGACCCGAAAGAAGGUGAACUAUGCCUGUAUAGGGUGAAGCCAGAGGAAACUCUGGUGGAGGCUCGCAGCGGUUCUGACGUGCAAAUCGAUCGUCAAAUAUGGGCAUGGGGGCGAAAGACUAAUCGAACCUUCUAGUAGCUGGUU
rnacentral:rRNA from 3 species